rnacentral:rRNA from 1 species
CACAGACAACCAGGAUGUUGGCUUAGAAGCAGCCACUCAUUCAAAGAGUGCGUAAUAGCUCACUGGUCGAGUGAUCCUGCGCCGAAGAUUUCCGGGGCUAAAACUUACUACCGAAGCUACGGCAUCAAUAAUGAUGGGUAGGGGAGCUUCCCAUACGGGUUGAAGCAUGACCGUAAGGACAUGGGGACAGUAUGGGAGUGAGAAUGUUGGCAUGAGUAGCGAGAUGUGGGUGAGAAUCCCACAGGCCGUAAACCCAAGGUUUCCAGGGGAAGGUUCGUCCGCCCUGGGUUAGUCGGGACCUAAGCUGAGGCCGAAAGGCGUAGGUGAUGGACAACAGGUUGAUAUUCCUGUACUACCGAUAACCGUUUGAGAGA